GGGUUGUGAGGUUAAGCGACUAAGCGUACACGGUGGAUGCCCUGGCAGUCAGAGGCGAUGAAGGACGUGCUAAUCUGCGAAAAGCGUCGGUAAGGUGAUAUGAACCGUUAUAACCGGCGAUGUCCGAAUGGGGAAACCCAGUGCAAUUCGUUGCACUAUCGUUAACUGAAUACAUAGGUUAACGAGGCGAACCGGGGGAACUGAAACAUCUAAGUACCCCGAGGAAAAGAAAUCAACCGAGAUUCCCCCAGUAGCGGCGAGCGAACGGGGAGCAGCCCAGAGUCUGAAUCAGCUUGUGUGUUAGUGGAACGGUCUGGAAAGUCCGACGGUACAGGGUGAUAGUCCCGUACACCAAAAUGCACAGGUUGUGAACUCGAAGAGUAGGGCGGGACACGUGGUAUCCUGUCUGAAUAUGGGGGGACCAUCCUCCAAGGCUAAAUACUCCUGACUGACCGAUAGUGAACC
rnacentral:rRNA from 1 species